rnacentral:RNase_P_RNA from 1 species
GGAGUCGACUGGGCAGUCGCUGUAUCGGACGGGCUUUGUUGCACAAGGUUCGGUGUCGGUAUAGAGGAAAGUCCGGGCUCCAUAGGGCGGGGUGCCAGGUAACGCCUGGGGGAUGUGAAUCCACGGAAAGUGCCACAGAAAAUAUACCGCCCGUGGUUUUUUUCUUGCCGCUUUCCGGCGAGGGAGAUCGGCGGGUAAGGGUGAAAAGGUGCGGUAAGAGCGCACCGCGCCUCGGGUAAUCGGGGUGGCAGGGUAAACCCCACUUGGAGCAAGACCAAAUAGGGGGGCCGGUUUCCGCUUUUGUGCGGGUAACCAGGCGUGGCCCGCGCCGCUCCCGGGUAGGUCGCUGGAGGUAUAUGGUGACGUAUACCCAAGAUGAAUGACUGUCCUCGACAGAACCCGGCUUAUAGGUCGACUCCCGCG